rnacentral:pre_miRNA from 10 species
GCUCUUUCCCUGAGACCUAAACUUGUGACUUAAAAUGGCCUUUGGCCUUGCUCACAGGUUUGGCUCUCUGGGUGAUGG